CUUCACUUUAACCCUUUCCCUUAGACUUUGGCUGUAGGAAGCUUGUUGUAUUUGUGCUGGUGCUUAAAGAAGUUGGAUAUUCUUCACACUUGGAUAAUACUGGUGGUAUACACCCCAAAGGUGUAAAAACACCUUAAUCUCCACCAAAGAGAGCACAUGGAGCGAAGGUACUCUCCGAUAUACUCAAAAAAUGGAGGGGGAGAGAGAGACCUCUCUUCGGACCAAACCAUCAGGAAGAGGUAACCCAUUGGCAGUUCCAUCUCAAACCUACAGGAAGCGAGGGCGAGUUGGCCAGAGAGGGCGAGAGAGAGGCCAUGUGACCUGCAACUCUUCUCCUCAGACCCAAAAAAGCUUGAUAUCCAAAAAGGGAGAAGAAACAAAACUCUGUGAUUGAGGAGACCAGUCACAAACUACACAUCGAGAAUGGGGACUAAUCAAAGCGAGCAACAUUCAAACACACAGCUGAAAAUUGUUCAUCCAAACUAUUUGGCAAGCAGUUACAGAUAAAAAUAUGAUCACAGAAAGCAGGAUCAGUUUGCAAACAGAAAAAAGUCUGUAUUCAGUGGAUAACUUAUUCACCAGCACUCCUGAUAUCGAAAGAAAAGCUUAGGGUUAGAAAUGAAUUAACUCUUUUGAAGACAACGUAAUAAGUCAUUCUGUACCUGUCCCCCUUUCUCAGUACUGCAAAUUGUUACUAGUUAGAGAUCUACUUGUUUGUAACCUAAAAUCAAGUAGUUGGAGAUGUCUACUAAAUUUGCACCCACAAUUCAUUAUGGUUGCAAAAAUGAAUACAUGUAUUUAUAGGCACAAAAUUGCACCCUGGAAACUGGAGGAUGGGUUAUAGCCCAGUUGAAAACAUGCCCCUUUAUCUGCCAAUGUGCUCAUCACUGUAUAAGAUGCUCCCAAAGAUGCUCUCAGGAGCUUACAGUCUAAAACACUGAUUGGACAAGAUGCACUGGGAAACAUUGCAUAUUCCCCCCUCCUCCCAGUUUGUAUACCGUUAGUGCAGGGAGCCCAUUUUUAUUCCUGUUUGUGGCCCUUGAGGGGUAAUUUGAAUGACAAAGCCCUGGCACACUGGACUGGAAAGUUGUUUCAUGGUAUGGAGGAGCUAUUGAUUCUGGCAUUACAAGGCAGAUGAAAGAAGAUGAUCAUCUGACAUGAAGGUUGAGAAGUUUAAGAUGGGCCUGGGAAAACCAGUGAAAUGAUUCUAUGGAGGGGAGUUCUGUAGUCUGAUCAGGCAAGGGUAGUAGAUCACACACUUUAAUAUUGCCAGUGGAUACAUUUCAUGGAGCUAGAUAUGAUCAGAGAGGUAGAGAUCAUGAUGUUUUCAUGAACUGGCCUUUUGGCUUUGGAGAUAGGCAUUCAAAUCCUGUUUCAACUCACAAGUGAAAAUCAGUGUGUUUGGUCUCAUACUGGUCCUUAUUUGUGCUUAUUGUAAGACCAUCAGAUAAUCAGGUAAACUGUCAAUCUCUGCUCCAGAGAGGUUUAGGGGAAGAGUUUUUUUUGCAAGCUUGAAUUGGUGUGAUUUGGAACGCAUGCAUGGAGAAGCGUACACAAUAUCUGGCUCAAGCCAGUGUUGUUAGUACCUCGAUUUCAUAAAUACUAAAUGCGCUUUCAGAUUUUUAAAUAAAAAGAUACUGGCCAUUUAUUAACUCACUGAAAUAUCUGAUUUUUAGGAACAGCAGAUUACAAAACAAACUGGAUUUUCAGUCUACUCAAGGGUGAACAGCAAACUUGUUUUCACGCAUAGCUAACUUGCUUGUUACAUCUCAUUGCAGGGUGUUUGGGCCAUAGUUCACUUAAUUUUUUUUUCACCUUUAAAUACUUCAAAUGCACAUUAAUUCUUUGGGGCAAAUGUAUUAGCAAGUGUUAAUUUGACACAAGUACACAAUGGUCUUGGCAACAUAGCUGCAGGCUGGAAAGAUUAGCUUGCUAAACACCUUGCACAUGCUCUUGAGGAAACUCUUCAAACAUGAGCUCUGACGCUUAAUUAAAUACUUACAUGUUGCUGUUCUGUCUCAGCUCAGAUGGAAGCAAUAGCACCUACUGUGUUAGCUGCUUCACAGAAUAUCUUCCAUAUGAAA